rnacentral:rRNA from 1 species
UGGGGAAUAUUGGACAAUGGAGGAAACUCUGAUCCAGCAAUUCUGUGUGUGUGAAGAAGGUUUUAGGACUGUAAAACACUUUUAGUAGGGAAGAAAAAAAUGACGGUACCUACAGAAGAAGCAACGGCUAAAUACGUGCCAGCAGCCGCGGUAAUACGUAUGUUGCGAGCGUUAUCCGGAAUUAUUGGGCUUAAAGGGCAUCUAGGCGGUAAGACAAGUUGAAGGUGAAAACCUGUGGCUCAACCAUAGGCUUGCCUACAAAACUGUUGAACUAGAGUACUGGAAAGGUGGGUGGAACUACACGAGUAGAGGUGAAAUUCGUAGAUAUGUGUAGGAAUGCCGAUGAUGAAGAUAACUCACUGGACAGAAACUGACGCUGAAGUGCGAAAGCUGGGGGAGCAAACAGG